rnacentral:rRNA from 1 species
UACGGAGGGGGCUAGCGUUGUUCGGAAUUACUGGGCGUAAAGCGCACGUAGGCGGCUUUGUAAGUUAGAGGUGAAAGCCCGGAGCUCAACUCCGGAACUGCCUUUAAGACUGCAUCGCUUGAACGUCGGAGAGGUAAGUGGAAUUCCGAGUGUAGAGGUGAAAUUCGUAGAUAUUCGGAAGAACACCAGUGGCGAAGGCGGCUCACUGGACCGGUUCUGACGCUGAGGCGCGAAAGCGUGGGGAGCAAACGGG